UAAGCAUUAAGAGAGAAACAUUAACAACUUGUCUAUUACUUACUAUGUGUUGUAUCAUUUUCUAGGUGUUGAGAUUAUAUGAAUGGAGAAAACUGGAAAGGUAUGUGUCAUAAUGAAGCUUAUAUUUUAGUGGCUGAAGACAAGCAAUGAAAGCAUCAGCAGAGUAGUUUAAAUGGAAAUAAGAAGUACUGGCCUUUUAAUAAUUGUGACUUCUAGCACACACCAGCAAGGAACUCUGUCACCAUCCAAAGCCUGGAUUUCACAACUGCAUUCAUGCGAAAAAUGCAUAACAAGAACUCAUUAG
rnacentral:lncRNA from 1 species